rnacentral:rRNA from 1 species
UCCUGACGGUAGUCGUAUGCUCGUCUCCGAGACUAAGCCAUGCAAGUCCAAGUACACGUCCUUGAACGACGGAAACUGCGAACGGCUCAUUAAAUCAGUUGCGAUCUACUCGGCGUUCCGCGCCGCCGGAUAACCGUAGUAAUUCUAGGGCUAAUACGUGCGAAGCGCCCGAAGCCGCGAGGCGACGGGCGUUCUCGCCGGAUGUAGGAACCGACCCGGGGACCGCCGGGGCAACCCGGCGCCCCCGAGACGGGGCGAACCACGGUGAAAUGACGGAUCGUCGGCCCCGCGCCGGCGACUCGCCGAAUGAGUUUCUGACCUAUCAACUCGAGACGGCGGGGUAGAGGCCCGCCGCGGUAACGACGGGUAACGGGGAUCAGGGUUCGAUUCCGGGAGAGGGGAG